CCCUCAGGGCGGGGCCGCUCCGCACCUGAACCUCGGAACCGCGGGGUACCGGCAGCAGGUGCCGUGGGUGUGUGCCGACUGCUUUGCUCAGGCCUGUGUGCCAGGCUCGCCUCGAGCCCAGAGCAGCUUUGCUCACCUGGGGAAAAGCACCCUUCAGUCAGGGAAAAGCACCCAGGAGGAGAGGCUGGGAUGCUCCAGGCUGGCGGUCAGCAGAGAUCUGGACACGAGAGAAAAGAAAGCAUGCUAAAGGGGAGAAAAGCAAAGAAGCCUCAUGAAAAUGAAAGAGCACGGACUGCGGAACAUUAAGGGCAGCAUCACCCAGGCUGUGCACUCAGAUGAGGAAAGCACCUGGCUAUCACAAGCCCCUGCUGAAGAGUCUGCUGCAGCCUGGCUCCCCACACUGUGCAGCCCUGGGAGAGCUGCCACCAGCACCUCAUCUGAGCACAGGCCCUGUGUCUGCAUUGCCACA